rnacentral:rRNA from 1 species
UGAGGAAUAUUGCUCAAUGGGCGAAAGCCUGAAGCAGCAACGCCGCGUGCGCGAUGAAGGUCUUCGGAUCGUAAAGCGCUUUUGAGAGGGACGAGAUAGGACGGUACCUCUUGAAUAAGUCACGGCUAACUACGUGCCAGCAGCCGCGGUAAAACGUAGGUGGCAAGCGUUAUCCGGAUUCACUGGGCGUAAAGCGCGUGCAGGUGGCUUCGUAAGUUGGACGUUAAAUCCUUCGGCCUAACCGGGAGGUGUCGUUCAAUACUGCGGGGCUUGAGGGUAGAAGAGGGGGGUGGAAUUGCCGGUGUAGUGGUGAAAUGCGUAGAUAUCGGCAGGAACACCUGUGGCGAAAGCGGCCCCCUGGUCUGCUCCUGACACUCAGACGCGAAAGCUAGGGGAGUGAACG